UUGGAGGGCAAGUCUGGUGCCAGCAGCCGCGGUAAUUCCAGCUCCAAUAGCGUAUAUUAAAGUUGUUGCAGUUAAAAAGCUCGUAGUUGAACUUCGGGAUCAAUGGAUCGGUCAUGCCGUUGGUAUGUACUGGUCACAUUGGUUCUCACCUUCUAAGGAACCAUGAUGUCAUUCAUUUGAUGUUGUGGGGAAUUAGGACUGUUACCUUGAAAAAAUUAGAGUGUUUAAAGCAGGCUAACGCUUGAAUACAUUAGCAUGGAAUAAUGAAAUAGGACAUCGCAUUCUAUUUUGUUGGUUUCUAGGAUCGAUGUAAUGAUUAAUAGGGAUAGUUGGGGGCAUUAGUAUUCAAUUGUCAGAGGUGAAAUUCUUGGAUUUAUUGAAGACUAACUACUGCGAAAGCAUUUGCCAAGGAUGUUUUCAUUAAUCAAGAACGAAAGUUAGGGGAUCGAAGACGAUCAGAUACCGUCGUAGUCUUAACCAUAAACUAUGCCGACUAGGGAUCGGAUGAUGUUGAUUUUUUAAUGACUUAUUCGGCGCCUUACGGGAAAC
rnacentral:rRNA from 1 species